CAUUGCAAAUGAGACAUCAAUGGAGGAAAUCUAUACUACUUCUGUUGUUGAUAAUGUACCAGAUGAUGGUGAAACAGAUGAAAAUCAUGAUCAUGGAACUCAAUCAGAAAAAUCUAGAUCUGAACAUGAUGAGAUUCCUACUUCUAAUCAGGAAAAGUCAGAUGAAACAAAUGGAAGUAAGCUUUCCUCCGCAGCUGAACCAUUCAAUCCAGGAGCACUCUCUGUAGUUCACUCAUUAAACUCGGUGUCUGGGACAAGCAUUUAUGAUGUAAGAGCUAGUCAAAGCAUGCUUGCAGAUGCAGCGGCACCUCCACUUGCUGCUAGAGUUCCUUGUGGACCUAGAUCACCACUGUACUAU
rnacentral:misc_RNA from 1 species